rnacentral:rRNA from 1 species
CAAUAGCGUAUAUUAAAGUUGUUGCAGUUAAAAAGCUCGUAGUUGGAUUUCUGGGAGAGUGCCAAUGUCCGCCGUCGUGCGUGCGCAGCGGCGCUCUUCCAUCCUUCUGUUAACUCCUCUUGGCAUUCAUUUGCUGGUGGAGGGCUCAGAUAUUUUACCUUGAGAAAAUUAGAGUGUUUCAGGCAGGCGUAGCCGGAAUACAUUAGCAUGGAAUAAUGGAAUAGGACUUAGUCUCUUUGUUGGUUCGAGGGACUGGAGUAAUGAUUAAUAGGGAUAGUUGGGGGCAUUAGUAUUUAAUUGUCAGAGGUGAAAUUCUUGGAUUUAUUAAAGACUGACUUAUGCGAAAGCAUUUGCCAAGGAUGUUUUCAUUGAUCAAGAACGAAAGUUAGGGGAUCAAAGACGAUCAGAUACCAU